rnacentral:misc_RNA from 1 species
GAUGAAGAACGUAGCGAAAUGCGAUAAGUAAUGUGAAUUGCAUAAUUCAGUGAAUCAUCGAAUCUUUGAACGCACAUUGCGCCCGCCAGUAUUCUGGCGGGCAUGCCUGUUCGAGCGUCAUUACAACCCUCAGGCCCCCGGGCCUGGCGUUGGGGAUCGGCGGAAGCCCCCUGCGGGCACAACGCCGUCCCCCAAAUACAGUGGCGGUCCCGCCGCAGCUUCCAUUGCGUAGUAGCUAACACCUCGCAACUGGAGAGCGGCGCGGCCACGCUGUAAAACACCCAACUUCUGAAUGUUGACCUCGAAUCAGGUAGGAAUACCCGCUGAACUUAAGCAUAUCAAUAAGCGGAGGA